ACGCACGCUGGCGGCAGGCCUCACCCCUGCAAGUCGCGCGCCCCGCAAGGGGAGCGGCGGACGGGUGAGUAACGCGUGGGAAUAUGCCCUUUGCUACGGAAUAGUCUCGGGAAACUGGGGGUAAUACCGUAUACGCCCUUUGGGGGAAAGAUUUAUCGGCGAAGGAUUAGCCCGCGUUGGAUUAGGUAGUUGGUGGGGUAAUGGCCUACCAAGCCGACGAUCCAUAGCUGGUUUGAGAGGAUGAUCAGCCACACUGGGACUGAGACACGGCCCAGACUCCUACGGGAGGCAGCAGUGGGGAAUCUUAGACAAUGGGGGCAACCCUGAUCUAGCCAUGCCGCGUGAGUGAUGAAGGCCUUAGGGUUGUAAAGCUCUUUCAGCUGGGAAGAUAAUGACGGUACCAGCAGAAGAAGCCCCGGCUAACUCCGUG
rnacentral:rRNA from 1 species